rnacentral:rRNA from 1 species
GACGAACGCUGGCGGCGUGCCUAAUACAUGCAAGUCGAACGCAGUGGGGACGGGUGAGUAACACGUGGGUAACCUCCCAUCAGAGGGGAUAACACUUGGAAAAAGGUGCUAAACCGCUACUGAUGGAUGGACCCGCGGUGCAUUAGCUAGUUGGGGAGGUAACGGCCCACCAAGGCUACGAUGCAUAGCCGACCUUAGAGGGUGAACGGCCACACUGGGACUGAGACACGGCACAGACUCCUACGGGAGGCAGCAGUAGGGAAUCUUGGGCAAUGGACGAAAGUCUGACCGAGCAACGCCGCGUGAGUGAAGAAGGUUUUCGGGUCGUAAAACACUUUUGUUAAAGAAGCGGUAUCUAACCAGAAAGCCGCGGCUAACUACGUGCCAGCAGCCGCGGUAAUUC